AACAAACGCUGGCGGCGUGCCUAAUACAUGCAAGUCGAACGGGUAGCAAUACCAGUGGCGCACGGGUGAGGAAUACAUAGAUAAUCUGCCUUCGAGUCGGGGAUAACCAGUCGAAAAAUUGGCUAAUACCGGAUAAGACCACAAGAUCUGCGGAUCAAGGGGUUAAAGGUUUUUCGCUUGAAGAUGAGUCUAUGCGAGAUUAGCUAGUUGGUGAGGUAAUGGCUCACCAAGGCGACGAUCUCUAACUGGUCUUAGAGGAUGAUCAGUCACACUGGAACUGAGACACGGUCCAGACUCCUACGGGAGGCAGCAGUAGGGAAUAUUGCGCAAUGGGGGAAACCCUGACGCAGCGACGCCGCGUGAGUGAUGAAGGCCUUCGGGUCGUAAAGCUCUGUCGUAUGGGAAUAACACAAUGAAUGUACCAUGCAAGAAAGGAUCGGCUAACUUCGUGCCAGCCGCCGCGGUAA
rnacentral:rRNA from 1 species